UAACAAGGUUUCCGUAGGUGAACCUGCGGAAGGAUCAU
rnacentral:ncRNA from 4 species